rnacentral:rRNA from 1 species
AUCGAAAGCUGGCGGCAGGCCUAACACAUGCAAGUCGAGCGGAGCGGGGGACGGGUGAGUGAGGCCUAGGAAUUUGCAAGGUAGUAGCGGAUAACGUCCGGAAACAGGCGACAUUACCGCCUAAUAGCAGAUGAGCAUAGGUCGGAGUAGCUAGUUGGUGGGGUAAAGGCCUACCAAGGCGAGGCUCCGUAAAUGGUCUGAGAGGAUGAUCAGUCAUAAUGGUACUGAGACACGGUCCAGACUCCGCCGGGAGGCAGCAUGGGUGAACAUUGGACAAUGGCCGAAAGCCUGAUCCAGCCAUGCCGCGUGUGUGAAGAAGGUCUUCGGAUUGUAAAGCUCGUUAAGUUGAGAUGCGGUACCAACAGAAUAAGCAACGGCUAACUCCGUGCCAGCAGCCGCGGUAAUAC